AGAGUUCUCGCCCUCGCGGGUAGAUCUCCCACCCACUGUUAUCGUUACUAUGCUCGCUGUAGAUGUCCGCUGGGUCCUACCUAGCCCCCGGCCAUGCUCGCUGUAGAUGUGCAUGCUCGCUGUAGAUGUCUGAAUGUUAGUGUCGUCUGAGUACUAUAUAAUAGUUAUGCUCGCUGUAGAUGUCGCUCGUGGUUCUGGCAUCGAUGAAGAACGAUGCUCGUCGAGCUCGCUGUAGAUGCUCGCAGAAUUCAGUGAGUCAUCGAAUCUUUGAACGCACAUUGCGCCCUGUGGUAAUGUCCGUCGUAGUACUGUUCGAGCGUCAUUUCAACCCUCAAGCACUGCUUGGUGUUGGGCCCUGCCCGAUGCCUCGUGAUAGUGCCCAAGUGGCGGUGCCGUCUGGCUCUAAGCGUAGUACAUCUCUCGCUCUCGAGUCCGGCGGUAGCUCGCCAGAACCCCCUACUCUUUAUGGUUGACCUCGGAUCAGGUAGGGAUACCCGCAUGCUCGCUGUAGAUGUCAUGCUCGCUGUAGAUCGCUGAUAGUGCUCGCUUCGAUAGUCGAUAUGCUC
rnacentral:rRNA from 1 species